rnacentral:rRNA from 1 species
UACGGAGGGGGCGAGUGUUGUUCGGAAUUACUGGGCGUAAAGGGCGCGCAGGCGGCUUGGCAAGUCGAGUGCGAAAUCCCUUGGCUUAACUGAGGAAUGGCGCUCGAAACUACCUCGCUGGAGGGCGGGAGAGGGAAGUGGAACUCUCGGUGUAGGGGUGAAAUGCGCAGAUAUCAGGAAGAACACCCGUGGCUAAGGCGGCUCUCUAGUACGGUACUGACGCUGAGACGCGAAAGCGUGGGGAGCGAACAGG